AUGUUAAGAGUGAAGUGGUGGGCCUACCCAUCCCAACCUAGGGUAUGCUGGGAUUCGCAAAGAGCAGCACCUUACAAUGUUCAUGACCAAUUGGAUCUUUACGUACCAAUAGGUACCAGAGGAGAUCGCUAUGAUCGUUAUUGUAUCCAUAUCAAAGAGAUGCAACAAAGUGUUCGGAUCAUUGUGCAAUGUCCUAAUCAAAUGCCUAGUGGCAUGAUCAAAGCCGAUGAUCAUAAGCUAUGUCCUCCAUCACGAUCUUGA
rnacentral:rRNA from 1 species